UAGGUCUCAGUUCGGACUGUAGGCUGCAACUCGCCUACACGAAGUUGGAAUUGCUAGUAAUCGUGGAUCAGCAUGCCACGGUGAAUACGUUCCCGGGUCUUGUACACACCGCCCGUCACACCAUGGGAGCCGGGAAUGCCCGAAGUCAGCGGCCCAACCGAAAGGGGGGAGCUGCCGAAGGCAGGCCUGGUGACUGGGGUGAAGUCGUAACAAGGUAGC
rnacentral:rRNA from 1 species